UACGUAGGGGGCAAGCGUUGUCCGGAUUUAUUGGGCGUAAAGAGCGUGUAGGCGGCCAGACAGGUCCGUUGUGAAAACUCGAGGCUCAACCUCGAGACGCCGAUGGAAACCGUCUGGCUAGAGUCCGGAAGAGGAGAGUGGAAUUCCCGGUGUAGCGGUGAAAUGCGCAGAUAUCGGGAAGAACACCCGCGGCUAAGGCGGCUCUCUAGUACGGUACUGACGCUGAGACGCGAAAGCGUGGGGAGCGAACAGG
rnacentral:rRNA from 1 species